ACAUUGCGAUCAAACCCUACCGUUGUGGGGAGGAGUAGAGAGGGAGGGCGGUCGUUGCAGACAGAGAGAGAUUGCAGAGAGGGAGGGUGGUCGUUGCAGACAGAGAGAGAUUGCAGAGAGGGAGAGCGAGAGAUUGCAGAGAGGGAGAGUGCGUUUCUCCAUCUUCCCCUCUUUUUAAAAAUCCGACCGUUGAGCCUGUAAGUAGCUUACAGGGAAGUGACUUCUCACCCCCAUCGCCCUGCAGUUUUUUGGUAGAUUUGCCUGUAAGUGACUUACAGGCUGUAAGUUACUUACAGGUGAAUUUUCUCUCCCAAACGCCACCUGUAAGUGACUUCCCUGUAAAUCACUUCCCACUUACCCAACUUACAGGCAUCCCAACAGGCCCUAAGAAGGAAAUGAGGGCAGUUGAAGUCGAGCUCUGAUAUUAGUUUUUCUGUCUCAGAAAAAGGAGAAGAAGGUGAAGAAGAAGAAGAAGAGAAGGUAAGCCAUGGAAGAAAGAAGGGAAGGAGCAGAAGACCUCUCAAACCUCUCCCAAUCCAUCGCCAGCCCCAAAACUCUAAACCUAGAGUCCCAGAAUAAGCAUUCCGCCAUAAUCCAACGCCUCUCAAAUCCCAUUCCCCUCAAAUCCCAUUCCAAUUCCUCCUCCCAAUCCACCCAGUCCUUUCUCGAUCUCUUCUCCCAAUCCAAGCUCUCCAUCCAAACAGCCCUGGAUCGUUGCCGUCAGAUUUCUGCUGAGAACCCCGACUCGAAAUCCCACCUGAAAUCUGAUCUUGACAGCCUCUCAGCUGCCAUCACUGAUCUCGAGAAACUCCUUGCGGAGAACUCAUACUUCCUCCCAUCCUAUGAACUUCGCUCAUCUCUCAAGUCCAUAGCUGAAUUGAAAGAAUCCCUCGAAUCCACAAGCUCGGAGCUUCUGCCGCGCAAGAAGUUUGCAUUCAGGAACAAACCUGCAAAGAAAAAUUCGGUGGAUGCAGGCGGUGAAGCUCAAGUUAAGGUUCCUAAUGUUGAUCGGGAUCUGCCUGGAUUCCAGAGCAAGAUUGAAAAGGUUCCAGAGGUAAAUCCGGUUGAAAAAACAUACCUUGGAAUCCGGCAUUCCCCUGGAUUUCAAAACAAGGUGGGUGGUGUUUUGGUUAAGCAGUUUAAGGACUCGGAAGAUGGUGAUUUUACCCUUUCAGAUCUUGAGUCUUGUGAAAUUCGUUUGAAGGGCAGAUUGAGAGCGCUCUUCAUUCAUCGGCUUAGGAAUUGUCGUGUUUAUGUUGGUCCGGUAUCUGGUUCAAUCCAUAUUGAAGAAGUUGAGGGGUGUCUGUUCAUGUUGGCAUCUCACCAGAUUAGGAUUCAUCAUGCGAAGGCGACGGAUUUUUAUUUGCGGGUUCGGAGUAGGCCUAUCAUUGAAGAUAGUAGUGGUGUGGGGUUUGCGCCGUAUGGCUUGGUGUAUGAAGGGAUUGAGAAAGAGAUGAGGGAUUCUGGUCUUGGUGAUGAGACUGGGAAUUGGGCAAAUGUGGAUGAUUUCCGAUGGCUACGAGCUAUGCAGUCUCCAAAUUGGUGCAUUUUGCCGGAGGAAGACCGGGUUGGCACUGUUAAUAUCUCAGAUUCAAUGACACAGAACAGAGAUGAUGAGUCUGUUUCCGUCUAAAUGCUGUAACAGGGGCAUGUAGUGAAUUGUGAAAUGCUAAGGGGGAGCACAAGCUGAACAUUGAGCCUGGUGCUGCAUGGGAGCUCAAUGGGCUCUUCUAUAUAAAAAUGCUGUACUUAUAAUAACUUCAACAAGUAUUUUGGGGUGCUGCAAUCUUGUCUAAUUCAAUACUUCUUCAUCCAUAUGAAUAGGAUCACCAGCUAUGCCUCAUUCCAGCUCUGAAUUUGUAGAAUUGGGCUUCUCUUGCACCACAAGAUUGAAGCCUCUACUCUGAUAGCGUACCCUGCUUCAGGCCUGAUUUUUCUCAGUUCUCAUCUUCAGGGGUUUUAUGGACUUGAAUGUAUAUGAAAUUACAAACUGGGAAGAGUUUUAUACAAAAGAAGAUAGAUUCAGCUGAAGAAUGUCUCCCCUCAUCUAUCCAUGGGUUGGCAAGACUGAAGUUGGUUAGGGCUCCUUUCGGAAUAUUUAGGUGCAAAUUGCCACUUCACCCUAUUUAAACACAAAUGAAGUGAAUUUCAAAUUGCACUGUGUUUAGAAAGUGAGCACCAUGCGGCCAGUAUUGCCAUCAAGCAAACUGGCCAUUUUUCUCAUAUUGCCAUCAUCCUGCUUAGUAACCUCAAGCUUGUAGUUCAUUAUCUUCGUUGGUUUAACCCAUCAAUUGUCUGUACAUACAUAUCAUGAAGUAAUCGGGUAAGCACGUAUGGAUAUGGUAAUUUCUGGUAAUUAGGUAAUUGGUUAAUCAGGUAAUUUUUUUGAAUUGUA